AGCAGUAGCCGCGGUAAUACGAAGGGGGCUAGCGUUGCUCGGAAUGACUGGGCGUAAAGGGCGCGUAGGCGGUUUAUACAGUCAGAUGUGAAAUUCCUGGGCUCAACCUGGGGACUGCAUUUGAUACGUAUGGACUUGAGUGGAGAAGAGGGUCGUGGAAUUUCCAGUGUAGAGGUGAAAUUCGUAGAUAUUGGAAAGAACACCGGUGGCGAAGGCGGCGACCUGGUCUUUAACUGACGCUGAGGCGCGAAAGCGUGGGGAGCAAGCAGGAUUAGAUACCCCCGUAGUCCCUGUCUCUUAUAC
rnacentral:rRNA from 1 species